UUAGGAAUAUUGGACAAUGGGGGCAACCCUGAUCCAGCCAUGCCGCGUGAGUGAAGAAGGCCUUCGGGUUGUAAAGCUCUUUCGGAUGUGAAGAUAAUGACAGUAGCAUAAGAAGAAGCUCCGGCUAAACUCGUGCCAGCAGCCGCGGUAAUACGAGUGGAGCGAGCGUUGUUCGGAAUCACUGGGCGUAAAGCGUACGCAGGCGGUCAUGAAAGUCAGGAGUGAAAUCCCAGGGCUUAACCCUGGAAUGGCUCUUGAAACUCCAUGACUAGAGUACUGGAGAGGUUGGCGGAAUUCCGAGUGUAGCAGUGAAAUGCGUAGAUAUUCGGAGGAACACCGAUGGCGUAGGCAGCCAACUGGACAGUAACUGACGCUCAGGUACGAAAGCGUGGGGAUCAAA
rnacentral:rRNA from 1 species